UUCUGUAUAUUCAUUUCUCUUACUCCCUCAUUCUCUUCCAUUUGUCUUUGAAUACUUUGUGCUAAAGCUCGUCCCGUUUUAUUUUUCCCUUCAUAUAUAAACUGGUUUCUGGAGACCCAAAUCGACCAUAAAGCAUAACAAAAAAGUCGACACUGAGCAUCAUUUCCUUUCUUAAAAACCCAGGGCACUCUCGGAAUACAUGGAGACUUUCUUCGAACCAAGAUCGACAGCAAGGAUAUUCAUCAUCAGUAAUGACUUUCCUGCAUCUGAGAUUAACAAAAUUGGGAAUAUAGUCCCAGGAGAUUCUCUAGAUAGUCAUUGUAAUUUUUGGGGGAAUUUGUAAACCCAUAAUUUCCUAUAAAAUUCCUUAUAUUCGGUCUGUAAUAAAUAAUCAGUAGGAUUUAGAGUAUCCUCUUGUAAUAGUUUAUAGGUGCUACGUACAGAAAAUUCGCCAGAUAAUUCUCCCUUCCAGACUUGGAUGUCUUCAUGCUCUAUCUCAACUAACGGCAUCUGUAAAAUUUUCUGAACUGUUUUCGCUUGAAAGUCCUCCCAAAUAGAGAUUUUGUCUCCCCUACCUACUCUCUAGCACAAUCCUUUUUGGAGUAGACUUUUUGCUGCCCAAAUACUCCGCCAGGUGAGUGAAGGUUUGAUUACCAGAAUAACACAAGCACCACUUUUCCCAGACUUCAGAACAAGAAAAACCAGAAGCGUAUAGAUCAAUUGAUAAAACAAAACACAGACGAAACAAGAAAAA